rnacentral:misc_RNA from 1 species
GAUGAAGAAAGCGAAAUGCGAUAAGUAAUGUGAAUUGCAGAAUUCAGUGAAUCAUCGAAUCUUUGAACGCACAUUGCGCCCGCCAGUAUUCUGGCGGGCAUGCCUGUUCGAGCGUCAUUACAACCCUCAGGCCCCCGGGCCUGGCGUUGGGGAUCGGCGGAGCCCCCCGUGGGCACACGCCGUCCCCCAAAUGCAGUGGCGGUCCCGCCGCAGCUUCCAUCGCGUAGUAGCUAACACCUCGCGACUGGAGAGCGGCGCGGCCACGCCGUAAAACACCCAACUCUUCUGAAGUUGACCUCGAAUCAGGUAGGAAUACCCGCUGAACUUAAGCAUAUCAAUAAGCGGAGGA